AUUGAACGCUGGCGGCAGGCCUAACACAUGCAAGUCGAGCGGAGCGGCGGAAGGGUGAGUAAUGCCUAGGAAUCUGCCUGGUAGUGGGGGAUAACGUCCGGAAAUGGGCGCUAAUACCGCAUACUCUCAGAUGAGCCUAGGUCGGAUUAGCUAGUUGGUGGGGUAAAGGCCUACCAAGGCGACGAUCCGUAACUGGUCUGAGAGGAUGAGCAGUCACACGUGAACUGAGACACGGUCCAGACUCCUACGGGAGGCAUCAGUGGGGAAUAUUGGACAAUGGGCGAAAGCCUGAUUCAGCCAUGCCGCGUGUGUGAAGAAGGUCUUCGGAUUGUAAAGCACUUUAAGUUGGGAGGCGUUACCAACAGAAUAAGCACCGGCUAACUUCGUGCCAGCCGCCGCGGUAAUUC
rnacentral:rRNA from 1 species